rnacentral:rRNA from 1 species
UACGUAGGUGGCAAGCGUUGUCCGGAUUUAUUGGGUUUAAAAGGGUGCGUAGGCGGUUCCAUAAGUCAGUGGUGAAAUACAAUAGCUUAACUAUUGAGGUGCCAUUGAUACUGCGGAACUUGAGUACAGACGAGGUAGGCGGAAUUGACGGUGUAGCGGUGAAAUGCUUAGAUAUCGUCAAGAACACCGAUAGCGAAGGCAGCUUACUAGACUGUAACUGACGCUGAGGCACGAAAAGUGUGGGGGAUCAAACAGG